AGUGAACGCUGGCGGUAGGCCUAACACAUGCAAGUCGAACGGCAGCACAGUAAGAGCUUGCUCUUACGGGUGGCGAGUGGCGGACGGGUGAGGAAUACAUCGGAAUCUACUUUUUCGUGGGGGAUAACGUAGGGAAACUUACGCUAAUACCGCAUACGACCUACGGGUGAAAGCAGGGGAUCUUCGGACCUUGCGCGAUUGAAUGAGCCGAUGUCGGAUUAGCUAGUUGGCGGGGUAAAGGCCCACCAAGGCGACGAUCCGUAGCUGGUCUGAGAGGAUGAUCAGCCACACUGGACCUGAGACACGGUCCAGACUCCUACGGGAGGCAGCAGUGGGGAAUAUUGGACAAUGGGCGCAACCCUGAUCCAGCCAUACCGCGUGGGUGAAGAAGGCCUUCGGGUUGUAAAGCCCUUUUGUUGGGAAAGAAAAGCAGCAGGUUAAUACCCCGCUGUUCUGACGGUACCCAAAGAAUAAACACCGGCUAACUUCGU
rnacentral:rRNA from 1 species